GUUUGGUUUCCAUUUGACUAACUUAGCUAAUCAGACACCGCCACAUAGUCUGUGUUGCGGUUUCCAAAUUCCAACCAAUUUUAUUGUUCAACUAUCCACGAAAACAACAUAUAGUAAUAGUAUAUCACGGCAUUAAUUUUGCUAAUAUUUCAAUUAUGUAUUUCCAAGUUUUGAGUUUAAAUCUUGAGGCGGAUUUUGAAUUUUUAUGGGUUAGUUUGUAAUUUUGAAGAUAUUUCUGAAU
rnacentral:lncRNA from 1 species